CUGGUGGUUAAUUUGGUUAAGUGUGUCGUUAAAAGUGACUGUAUUGGUAGUAAACGCUUCGAAGAAUAUAGAUUCAUCGAAGCGGAUAUAACUUAUAUUUCGUGUGAAAUUUAAAUGUGUUACGGUUAUCGAUGUGUUUUCAUGUGUGUCCAUCACUGUCACAUUGCAUUUAACACGGUGUAGUUUAAACAAGACAAAAGCAAUUUCAUUGGACCAUAUGAACGUGAACUUUGCGUUUGAACUGCAAAGUAGACCACACACAUAUGAUUAUACCGUGGACUGCAAUAAAUUCAACCGCAACACCGAAGCAGCGAAAAAUAUAGCUUGAAACAUAUCAAUGAAUUUGAUUUUUUCCGACGAUUCAUGACAGUAAAUAUUACUUUUCAGCUUUGCAAAUGUAAGGCUUCCAACGGCAGCAUUAAUUUUUAAUGUGACAUUCAACGUCUAAUGUUUCAAGCAAAAGUACACACACACACACACACACACAUAUAUAUAUUUAAAAUCUGUGUGAAGUAAGUGGAAAAAGACGACAGUUAUGGAAUUAAAUAGAGCCGGAAAACUUUGUAGAAAAGUGGAAUAAAAAUAAAACUCAUACACACAGCAUUUUAAACAAAACCAGAACAUAUACCCAUAAAAAGACUAACAAAAGUGAGCAAAAUAAAAUAAUCGCAUCAUAUUUCGUUUGCGGCAAUAUAUGAAUGCGACCACGUACAAACGGUGUAUUUUUCUCAUAUUAAAAAGAGAAAAAGACGAAAAAACCCAUAACAACAAUAGACUUGAAACGUAGUACCGUAUGAAAUCUAAAGAGAUCAUACAUACACACGCCGCGACUCUGUCAAACAUACACACAAAGACAAUGAUAUUAGACAGUCAUAUCACCGUCGACAACAUAAAUUGAGACAAAACCACUGCGACAGUGUGAGCAACGGCAACAGCAACAGCAACCGGCAAUCGAAAACCAAGCAUAUCUAAGUGAAUGACAGAAAGCUGCUUGAUAGAAUUGAGCAAGGAGCUUAGGACGCCAGGUGAAAAUAAGUUCAGCGAAUAGAACGUCAGCAAUCAUAAAAUAGGAUUGGAAGCUUAACCACAUACGGCUCGUGCUGCAUCAGUUAAAAUGCGAUCUGUGGACAAACGAGGAAAUUAGAACAAAAUAAAAAGAUCGAAAUCAACGCGGCAGGAAAAAAAGGCGAGAGUAAUUUACUUUUUUGCCGUGGUCAUCAAGAGUUUUUUUUUUCAUAUCGCAAUUCAAUCGUAAUUUUUCGAAAUAAUACGCGUUGGCACCAUGGUUUGUUGUUGUGACUCUUGCAUUCCGUUUUUUUGACCAUACAAACGCAUCAUAAUUUUUAUUUGCAUUUAAAGCAUUCGUUGAGCGAAACAAAAAAAUUACAGUAUUUUCCAAUUGGCACUUUUUAUAUAUGCAAUGGCUAUUUGAGGGCGAAUGGACAAUAUAACACUUACGCCAAUUCACCACAAGCAGCCGAUACAGGCAGACAAAUAAUAAUAAAAAAAACAACAUUCUCUCUCUCGACAACCCAAUGAAAUGCAAAAACGUCCGUAUCCAAUAAAAAUUUAAAUAUUUUUUACCAGUUCGCGCGCCAAUUCGAGAUCCCAUUGUAAAAGAAGCAGCGACACCAGCGAGGAAAAAAAAUCAUGAAUUAAUUACCAACAAUGAACAUCGCAACAAAAAUUUAAUCUUCUAUAAAAUUGAAAAAAAAGCGCUCGCAAAUACAUUUCGUGUGAAUGCGACACCGAAUAGUAAAAAAAACUUUUGCGAAUAUUUUAAAUUAUUCUGCAUUGUGAAAAGUGUGCAUGUAUGCAAAUAAAUCGAUACGAAUUGAACAAAUAUUCCGAUCACAAAAUAAUUCGCUUUACAAAACCAGAGUAAUUUUCACCGAAUUUAAAUAAAAACGGUGCAAUCAUAUUUUCUCAUUUGGACAGCAAGAGAUUAAAGUGCAAAAGAGUGCACAAUAUCGAACCAGAAUAAGAGUUCCAUACUAAUUUCUGAUUGAUUGCGGUAAACGCGUUGUUCUGUGACAAAUUUAAUUUCCCAAUUUGAAGCAGACUGUAGAAAAACCAAGACCAACAGAGGAAAAAAUAUAUAUACACAUUGUAUCGAUUUGCCUGAAGUGAGACUCACUCAGAGAGAGAGAGAGAGAAAGAGAAAAUAAGCCAGUAAAACCAAUUGAUUAAAUUGAGUGUUCAGUUGCGUAUGUGUGACAUUCAUUUAUCGCAUCGACACUGAUUAAUCAACUAGUAAUUUUGUUUUUGAUUUCACACACUUCUGAUCCCGACUAUCAACAAGGAACAACAGCUGCCACUAUCACCGUACAAAACACCAACAACCAUAAUACUAAUAAUAAUCUACAGCACAUUUCGCUGGGCGAAUCGCAAAAGUAAUAAAUCGUAACAUACAAUUCGGUGCGAAAUUCGAUCACGCUGCGGGCAAAUUGUGUGACAUCGUUUUCAGUCAUCCGAAAUGACCAUAAACUAUUUGCUGGACACAAUAAAUUAACGAAAAUAACAAAUUUGCGCGUAUUUAUAAAAUUUGUGCGUGCAUAAAAAUGUGUCCAUUUUUGAAUUUCGAUGCAGUAAACACAUAAACAAUAUGCAAUUCAGUGGAAAAAUGCAAAUUGGUUGACAAAAAAAAACAACAUUCGUAAAUAAUUGAGUGAAUAUAAAUAAAUGAAAAUAAACAAAUAGCGGAAACCAAUAAGUGAGCUUGGUACAGAGAAAAAAAAAAUUAAAUAUAAAAAAACAUAUGAUGCGAGACAAACGAGUGCAAUAAAGAGUUUGUACGCGAUAGAAUCAGAUAAAAAGAGAUAGAAUAAACGCACGAACCAAAACUAAUAGUUAAAUUGUGGCGAAAAAUAUUUAAUUAAAUAAACUGUAGCGAUAUUUCACUUAUAACAUUUUCAAUUUGCCAUUUCAAAUUGGCAAUUUUGCUGAAUGUUUUGCAAAUCGAUUAUUAUUUGGUGCUUUUUCAAUUAGAUUACGUGGAAAACCCCAUAAAUUAGCUUCGAUCACGAAAAUAACAGACGCACAACAACACAAACAAUACCAAACCAAUUGCCAAACCCUGCCAAAUGCUGAUAAAUUUGCCACAUUGAAAACAUACACAGUCAUUUGUCGUGCGGGUGUUCAGCGAUAUUAUAAAAAUAAAAGCAGCUUGUAUGAAAAACGGACAGAGGUCAUAUCACAUUGUUCUAAAUAAAAAUUUCAACAAUUUUAAUCGACGAAACGCAGCGUCAACAAACUGCAACGUGAGUGAGAAGAGAAUACAGGGGAAAGAAGACAAAAACAGUAAAAAAAAGAGAACGAAACAAGUGAUCAAAACAUACAUUCCAAUGGACAAAAUGAAAUCACAACACGGCAUAAAGUUGGCUAGCAACAACGGAAGCAGCCGGCACAAUGUUGCUACAACAAUAACAACUGAAAACAAUGCACACGGAAAAGCGAUUGCUUUUCGCAACUGUGCGCAUUUUUUCAAUUUGAUCGCGACCAUUUUAUUCGCAACGAUUAUGAUUGUCAAUGUUCGGCAUUCAUGCGGAUUAAUUGAAAUUCAAACAGAAAAGGAAAAACACGUGCGAACUAUCGAUGUGCAGGCUGUUGAAGGGAACCGAAUAUCUUUGCCGUGUCCGCUAAUAGCCCCGUCCAGAGAUAAAGUCUACAUGGUUCUGUGGUUUCGUGACGAUGCCGGCAUACCACUUUACAGCUUUGAUGUACGUGGACGACCGUUGAACGAUGCUCAACAUUGGUCAGCACCAGAAACAUUUGGGUCACGGGCUCGAUUUAAUGCAGAUGUUGAUCCGGCUACAUUAGAUAUUAAGAAUAUUAAACGUCACGAUCAAGGCAUUUAUCGAUGUCGUGUGGAUUUCCGAACCAGCCAGACACAGAGUUUCCGCUACAAUUUAACCAUUAUAAUUCCACCCGAGUAUCCAUUAGUAUUGAAUCGAUGGGGUCAUCAAUUGAACGGAACAAUACUUGGUCCUAUGGAAGAAGGAGACGACAUUGUGUUAACAUGCCGAGUUACUGGUGGUCGACCGCAACCUCAAGUUCGAUGGCUUGUAAAUGGUGUACUUGUCGACGAUCAAUACGAACACAAUACAGGCGAUGUAAUUGAAAAUCGACUUUUGUGGCCAGCUGUUCAACGGUCGGAUCUCAACGCGAUAUUCACUUGUCAAGCCGUAAAUACAAUUCUUGUUGAACCCAAAGAAAAUAGCUACAUGCUGGACUUGCACCUGAAACCAUUGACCGUGGACAUUUUAGAAACUCCACCACAAUUAGUUGCCGAACGACGAUACGAAAUAAGAUGCGAAAGUAGCGGAUCUCGACCGAAUGCCAUCAUAACAUGGUACAAGGGAAAGCGUCAACUGCGAAGGACAAAGGAUGAGACAGUCAACACAACAAGUCGCUCGGAAUUAAGUUUCGUGCCAUCAACUGAGGAUGAUGGAAAAUCGAUAACAUGCCGUGCUGAAAAUCCAAAAGUAACAGGACUAUUUCUGGAAACAACGUGGAAAUUAAAUGUUGUCUAUCCACCGAUUGUAACAUUGCGCCUGGGAUCAACAUUAUCGGACAACAUCAAAGAAGGCGAUGACGUGUACUUCGAGUGCUUGGCGGUGGCUAAUCCCCAAUGGCGAAAAUUGUACUGGUUACACGAUGGAGUUGUUUUAACGCACAAUGCAAGCGCUCGUGUUAUUCGAUCCAAUCAAAGUUUAGUGUUGCAACGCGUCACAAGGCAUUCGGCUGGAAACUAUUCAUGCAGCGCAAUAAAUGCUGAAGGCGAAACUGUUUCUAAUCAGCUCGAACUGCGCGUCAAAUAUGCUCCACUUUGUGUCAGCGAUAAGGUUGUGAUUGUCGGUGCAUUUCGAAAUGAGAAUCUCAACAUUUACUGUGAAGUGCAAGCUGAUCCACCUCCAAGAUCAUUUCGUUGGAAAUUCAAUAACUCGGGAGAAACACUUGACGUGGGCAAGGAACGUCAUCAUCGCAACGGAUCAACAAGCGUUUUGCAGUAUACACCAGUCACAGAUCAAGAUUACGGAACUUUAUCAUGCUGGGGACAAAACGAAGUCGGCAUUCAGAGUCAACCAUGUGUUUUCCAAAUUGUAUUAGCAAGUCUUCCUUCGGCUGUACGCAACUGCACCUAUAGCAACCAAACGCAGAUUUCCGUUGAAAUUCAUUGCAUUGCUGGCUAUGAUGGAGGUUUGCCGCAGUAUUUUGUGCUGGAAUUGGUUUCAACGCAAACGGGACGCGUACGAUUUAACCUUACCAAUUCGGAGGAGCCAUACUUUUUGGUUGAAUCAUUGGAAGCAUUGCAUUCGUUCGAUAGCGUUGAAGAUCGUUCAUUUCGAGUGGUUAUCUAUGCAUUGAAUCAAAAAGGUCGAAGUCCAAAGGUUAUACUCAAGGAUUUGUUGAUUGGCGAUCGAGACCAUCAUCCAAACUCUGUGGAAAAUGGUGCAAUGCAACUGUCACCGAUAUUCUUUGGUAUUUUAUUGACAAUCUUAUGUCUGAUGUCGUACUGUGUUGUUCGCAUUUUAUGGAAGCGGUCACAGCAACACAAACCCGACGAUGUCACAGAUAGCUCCAAGCAAUCGAGCAGUUUACUGUGUACAAGUGUUGUCGGUAAUACGAAUGGAACAACCAACAAUGCCAAUCACACGGAUACGAUAACAAAGCAGAAGUACUCAAAAUCCAGCCCACGAUGGCAAUAUAAUAAUAGUGGCAACAAGGACAUUAAGGCUGCAACCGAAUUACUCGAAGAUGAACGUGAUCCAGACGUCAUUCCGGCACAAUUUUCCACCAACGAUAUAUCACUUAGUAAUUACAAAACAGAAUGGUCGGACGAACCAUAUUAUGACAUUAAAUAUUCUGGUCAUGAAAAUCGCCCGAAAAAUUUACUGCUAAAAUCUGUAACAACAAAUGUUCCAUCCCAAGAUUUAAUACUAGGUUCAUACUUUACGAAUAGUAAUAACAGUUGCAGCAGCACAACAACAACUGGAACAAUAAAACCAACAUCGACAGCAAUGGUCACUGCAGUCGCAAUGGGACUACCGACUACGACAACAACAGCAGCAGCAGCUUCAGCGAAUGCAACAUCAAUCGAUUUAGAUAUUAAUGUUCACGCUAUUAAAAAUAUGUUAAUGGCAACACGUGUGCCCGAAAGUUGUGUAUAAAUCACUCAAUGCGCCCAAGUUACUGCGCUGCCAACUGUGAAUCCAGAUGAAACAAAACAGAAACUAUAUAUAUACAUCUAUGUGUUACAAAUUGUGUGAGAGAAAGAGAGCGAGAGCGAUAAAGAGCACAUCCAGAAUUUUAAUGUGAAUUAGUGAAAUUGGAACGCACUGAACGCGCUCAACGGGUUUGCGGCGCGGUGAGAGUAUCGCAUUUGUACAGAGGUGCAAGGAGAAAUCGAGAUAAAUUCGUGAACAAAUGGAAUGGAGCAAAGAUUUGAACUAAAUGCAAGACACUCAAUGAAGCGCGGCAAGACAACAAUAGACUUGGGAAGAAUUGAUAGAAGCACAACUGUCGUAAUCACAACACACAAUGAAUUUCAUAUCUGGGGUAUUCAUCUAAAGCGCCAUAAAUGGCCAACAAAAGGGAAACGUGAACCGCUUUUGCGAGCGUGUUUUUGGCGGAGCGCAUUCAAACGAAUGAGAUUUUGAAUAUUUUAAAUAGCCAACGUUGGUUUAUUUUAUAAAACCCCCAAAAAUAAAAUCAUUUAUUAUUAUUAUUUACUUCGGAUCCAAAGCACGGAUUUGAGCUCAGCAAAGCAUACUAACGAAUUAUUUUCAUUGUGGUAUUUAUAUAAACAUGUUUGAAUUUUUCGACAAGAUAACACCGUAAUGACGACCAUUUCAAAAUCAAAGGAUACAUCUCUUUUUUUCCACAUCGACAAGAUGAACCAUCAUUAUUUCCAUUCUAUUUUUAUUUUAUUUUUGAAAAUGGCAGCGAUAUCGCGUACAUAUAUGAGAAAAAACCACAUUUAGCUUCAACAUUCCCAAACAAAACGAAAUCAAAUUGCAAAAUCCACGGUAAUAUUUCUUAUGUGCAAAAUUGUGACGUAAUCGGUGAAAAGUCAUUAUAAACGUACAUUCAACCCGAACGAAAUUCGGUCGAAAAAUGGAUACAUAUCUUUCAACUUAAAAUGGAUUUAAAGUUCUCGCACCGCUUCAGUUGACUGACAUCGCUUGGAAUGAAUUGUGCUUUCCUUUUUCGAAUGGAAACAAAGUUCAUUUUUCGUAAGAGAGAAAGAUAGAGAGAGAGAGAGAGAGAGAGAGAGAGAGAAGAAAACAUUUGCGGAGAUAUGAUGUAUUACUUUAUUUCUCCAAAUAAAAAUGUAUACACACCGAAAAAAGUUUGGAUAGCUCUUUUUCCGGAACGGUAAUUUAUUGCUCAAAACCGAUUUAUUCCAAGUGCCAAUGAGCCGAUCUUGUCUCGAAAGUGUAUUAGAGAAGACGCUGACGACGAGCGGCCGAUUUGUUCAAAGGAAUUUUGGUUCAGAUUUUCAUGAAUAUCGACAUGUUUCGUAAACAAAACCACAACCAAUGUUGUAGCCAUGUCAAUUCAAAUGUUCAUGUUGACUCAACAGUAAUCACCUUUGAGGGGCCGAUGGUUAUUGAAUCACACUUACAUUGAACUACUUAAUAAAUAACACCGAAUUGCGUCUAUUCAAAAUAUCAAAAUCCGAUUUCAAUACAUAUGAACAACAUUGUAUAACAACUGCUAUAUGAAAUCAUGCCGAUCGAAAGUGAGGCAAAUUAUGCAAAGUGAAGAGAGUUGUUCUAAAAACUUAUAUAGUCAGUUCAGUUUAUCUCUCAAUUCGUCUGUUUGGUUUAUUUGCUAUAAUAAUUUUCGAAUUCGAAAAGUGAAUGCGAAAAUUGCACACAAAUUAUCCAAAUGGAGAUGACUCCAUAUAUACAUAUAUAUGAAGCUAUCGACACUCUUUCGUUUGCAUCCGGUAAUUUUAACUUGAUCGCAUUUAUGUCGGGUGAAGUCGAUGGUAAGAAUAUUUCCCAGUGUAGUUCAAACUCAAUAUAUCAGAAAUGUUCGUUUUGGCCAACCGCUACGGUCAUAAUUCUCUCACUGCAUACAAAAUUCAAUAUUCCAUUGCAUGGCAUUGCAUAUUGUCGUGUCCAAGUAUGGCAAAAGUUGCAUUCAAUGCUGAAGCGGCUGCGAAACGCUUCGGUAUAAUUGAAUUGUGCACUUUAUUUUCGCAAUUGCAACAGAAUGUGAGUGUGUAAGUGUGUGUGUGAGAGAGAGAGAGAGUGCACACAAAAUUCUUUCUCUCAUCCUGGAUUUAUGUGUCAGCAAUUAACAGACGAACUUUAUCAUAUUAAAUAGGAAUUUAUUGGGUGCUGCAUUGUAAGGAUUUCGACCAAACUUGAAAUGCAUUUCGACGCUUUCCGAAACAAGAAAACUAAUUGACAAAAAGUAUGUAGUAGCUGUUGACCAAGUUUCAAUGCACAACACUUACUUAUUUUAUUCUUUGAACGAAGAGUUCAUCACGACGCUAUUCAUCCCGAAAUUGCUGACAAAAAAAACAGCAACAAAUACAAAAACUGUAAAUUCAUGGAAAACUUUACACACUACAUGCCCACACACACAUACACACUCUAUAGAAUGAAGAAUUUUACCAGAAAAUACUAAAAUAAAUACAGAGCAAUACAAGAAAAAAAUCAAUGGAAAAAGUUGAGACAAUUCGUUCAUUUGUCAUUGUCAUCGUAUGUUUGCUACAACAUCUCUAAGUAAACAAACAUUGCAUGCACACACACACAGCUUUUAGCCAAGAAAACGCAAUAGAGAAUGUCAAGUGAAUUUGUGAUAAUCACAUACAACACAUGUAAACAAACAUUGUACCGAACCAUUGCAGCAGCCGAAUGAUGAACGCAUUUUCAUUCGAAACUUGUACGGGGAGCGGAAGGGGAUUGAUGAAGAAAAACAAUAAGAAAACAAAUGGUUUCUUAUGCGUAGCUAGAUUAGCUACUGCAAAGCAAACGUUUUGUAGGAGUAAACACAAAAAAAGAGAAAUAAAUAAAUUAUCAAGAGCCAAAAAAAUACAGACACGCACAAUGAUAAACAAAAACAUUCGUAAAAUUCACAUAUUGUCACGAGAACCGACUCAACACAUUCAUAUCAAAAACCGGAAAAAUAAGCCAUAUCGAUUCAUAUAUCAAUCUUUCGAUAAAUAAAUUAUUAAAAAAAAAAAAACAAAUGGUCAUGAAAUUUUGAGAACCCAAAUUACACUCACAUACAGAACUAAAUGAUAAAAAAAACGAAUUAAAAGAAGAAGAAAAAAGCUGAAAUCAUUUUAAAGAAAAAAAGCAGAAAUAAUAUUUGAAAUUGAAUUUUUUCCCUUCGAAUUGUUGUUAGUGUUAAAUAAUUCAAGAUAUAUACAAAACAAGAACUAUCAAAACGAAUGAAUUUUUAUUUUACCAUAGUAACUAAGCUAGAUAUUAAGAAGAGAGAAAAAAAAAAUUCCGUUUCAAGUACAUUUGUAAAUAUUUAAAUUAAGUGAACCGUUUUUGUCAAUAUAAGAAAGAAAGAAUUUUGUGCGUGUGCGGGGUACGAAGAAAGCUUAGUUCGUAAUAAUAUCAACUCAAAUUAAGUUUUAAUAAACGUGUAAAAAUACAAUUUAGCUAACGUUAGACUUAUUGGGAGUGAGCCAUAUCAUAGAUUUGCGAGGGAGAAUCGAGUGGUUCACAAUUUUAUUGGCAUAGAUGACAAUAGAUCGUAGAAAAUUGUACAUUGCGCAAAUGGACAUGCGAUCGAUACACACAUAUAUAUUUAUGAAUGUGAUUCCAAUAGACACAGAGUUCUAUGUUUUUGUGAAUGAUUUAUGACCGAUAUUUUUUCCUCUCUCCUUUGAUGGUGAUUCAAACCCAAAAUGAUAUAUGAAUAUGUUGUUAAACUGCCAAUGAUUGAUUGUUUAUUAUAAGACUAUUAUUGAAAAUAAAUACGAAAUCACCAAUAACGAAUCGCAUUCACAAUGCGACGAUAAAAAACAACCCAAUAUCCUCUUGGCGAUAUGAAAACUGAUGCAUUGUGAUGCAGAAUGAGUGAAAAAUCAACAACCAAAUAAAAUUUACAAAUAAAAAAAUCAUAUCCACUUUUCAUGUAAUUAAAACGUAAAACAACAACAACAACAACCAAAAUUGAUAGAGAUUGAAAUUUGUAUUUUAAAAUCAACUAUUUAUCGACUACUAUUAUUAUCAUGGAAAAUGGACGUUUCUUAAUUGUUUGAAGAAUCGACAACAUUAAAAAAAAAAGAAAAACACAAAUUAUUGAGACAAACAAAUUCCAGCUAUUAUAUAGAUUUAUUGUACUAUUAAAUGUAUUAUUAUCAACGUGACGGUGAAAAUGGGCCGAAACACAUAUUAUCAUAUUAGCAACCAUUGAUGAUCACAGUGUCAGAGCGCCCGAAAACCCAAUCAAAUACACUCUAGCAUCAAUUUUAAUUAUAAGAAGAAAAACACAGCCAUUGUGAACAUUACAUACAAACAGAUGCAACGGCAGAUGCAAAUAAAAUUCCAUAUAAAACAAAAA